UACGGAGGGUGCAAGCGUUGCUCGGAAUCACUGGGCGUAAAGCGCACGCAGGCGGUCUACUAAGUCGGAUGUGAAAGCCCAGGGCUCAACCCUGGAACUGCAUUCGAAACUGGCAGACUUGAGUACGAGAGAGGGAAGCGGAAUUCCUGGUGUAGAGGUGAAAUUCGUAGAUAUCAGGAGGAACACCAGCGGCGAAAGCGGCUUCCUGGCUCGAUACUGACGCUCAUGUGCGAAAGCGUGGGGAGCAAACAGG
rnacentral:rRNA from 1 species